CACUAGCGUAUAUUAAAGUUGUUGCAGUUAAAAAGCUCGUAGUUGGAUUUCUGACAUGGUGCGCCUGGUCCGCCCCGUAAAGGUGUGUGAGUACCGGCGUGCGCCUGUCAUCCUUCCGCAGAGCGUGUCUACCCUUCACUGGGCCGGGCAUCGCGAUGUGGAUCGUUUACUUUGAAAAAAUUAGAGUGUUCAAAGCAGGCUUACGCUGUGAAUACAUUAGCAUGGAAUAAUAAGAUAGGGCUUUGGUUCUAUUUUGUUGGUUUCUAGGACUGAAGUAAUGAUUGAUAGGGAUAGUUGGGGGUGCUAGUAUUCAACGGCCAGAGGUGAAAUUCUUGGAUUCGUUGAAGACUAACUUAUGCGAAAGCAUUCACCAAGGAUGUCUUCUUUAA
rnacentral:rRNA from 1 species